rnacentral:rRNA from 1 species
UACGGAGGGUGCAAGCGUUAUCCGGAUUCACUGGGUUUAAAGGGUGCGUAGGCGGGUUGGUAAGUCCGUGGUGAAAUCCCCCAAGCUUAACUUGGGAACUGCCGUGGAUACUAUCAAUCUUGAAUAUCGUGGAGGUAAGCGGAAUAUGUCAUGUAGCGGUGAAAUGCUUAGAUAUGACAUAGAACACCAAUUGCGUAGGCAGCUUACUACACGAUCAUUGACGCUGAGGCACGAAAGCGUGGGGAGCAAACAGG